GCUCCCGUAGCUCAGUGGAUAGAGCGUCGGUCUCCGGAACCGAGUGCGUAGGUUCGAUUCCUACCGGGAGCA
rnacentral:tRNA from 1 species